AGUGAACGCUGGCGGUAGGCCUAACACAUGCAAGUCGAACGGCAGCACAGUAAGAGCUUGCUCUUACGGGUGGCGAGUGGCGGACGGGUGAGGAAUACAUCGGAAUCUACUUUUUCGUGGGGGAUAACGUAGGGAAACUUACGCUAAUACCGCAUACGACCUACGGGUGAAAGCAGGGGAUCUUCGGACCUUGCGCGAUUGAAUGAGCCGAUGUCGGAUUAGCUAGUUGGCGGGGUAAAGGCCCACCAAGGCGACGAUCCGUAGCUGGUCUGAGUGGAGGAUAGCCCACACGGGAAGUGAAACACGUCCAAGGCUCCUAAGGGAGGGAGCAGGGGGGAAGAGUGGAAAAUGGGGGAAAGCCUUACCCACCCAGCCCGCGUGGGUUAAAAAGGCCUGGGGGUUGGAAAGCCGUUUUUUGGGGAAAAAAAAGCAGCAGGUUAAUACCCCGCGGUCGUGACGGUACCAAAAAAAGAAGCACCGGCUAACUUCGUG
rnacentral:rRNA from 1 species